CCUAUUGUUAUGACUACAACUGCUACCGCUAUUUAUUAUUGGAUUAUUUUUGUGCCAUUUUCUUGGAGCUUUUUAUCCAAAGUGUAGAAUAGUGAAAGAAAGUGAAACCUUGGAGCUCGAACCCACCUUCUUUUCAUGUGCUGAGUGAGUGCCAUGUGUUGUGCUUUCACUACACCGAGUUCUGGCAAGAAUUAAGAAUUGCCAGCUAAAAAGUUGCCUUUCAAGCGUUAAAAGUUACUGAGCAUUUUCAUACGUAAAACUCUUCUGAUGUGGUGCACCUGCUGCCACUGUGGAUGAAAAUGGUGCAGGCGUUUUGGCCCAAAAUGAUGCAUUCUUCAUCAUUCUCAAAACAGUGGACUGGCUUCCAUGGAUGGGAAUAGAGUUCCCAGAUUUAAGCAGAAGGUGCUGGAAGUAGCAGUGGAGGUCAAGAGAAUAUCCUGUUUACUGGUGGAGUCAGGUGACUUACUGAUGUCGCAGUACAAGACGGCUGGUAGUAAGUGGCCAGAGAGUGAGAGUCUACUGAGAGUGCAGCAAUACAAAAAGGAAUAUCAGGAUGUCUCAAGGAUGGUUCAAUGAAUAUUAUUGGAAAAUGGCAAAUGAAGUUUGAAGAGAAAGGUAUACAUGUUGUGAUUGGUGGGCAUGAGUCUCCUUCCCCAAAAGGAGUGGGUUUUGCCAAGAAUUGUGCAAUUGCACAAAGUUUUGGAAGAUUUCUUUGUUUUCUGGACGCAGAUGAUGUCAUGAUGCCACAGAGGGUGAGACUACAGUAUGAUGCAGCCCUUGAACACCCACAUUGUAUAAUCGGUAGUCAAGUUAAGAGGGAACCAGAGGGUUCAACUGAACGAUACACACGUUGGAUUAAUAACCUGACUCAGGAGCAACUGGUUACUCAGGUCUUUACUUCCCAUGGUCCCACUGUCAUCAUGCCAACAUGGUUCUGCUCACGAGAAUGGUUUGACUCCAUUGGAAAGUUUGACGAAAGCGGAAAGGGUGUUCCUGAGGAUUUGCUGUUCUUCUAUGAAAGUCUUCGGAAAGGAGGGGGCGUGUUUCGAGUGGAUCAUUGUCUUCUUGUCUAUCGCUAUCACCUGCAGGCUGCCACACAUGCCAUUUUAGAGGACACGAUUUGGAAGGAACGUGUAAGAUUCCUGGAGGAGAGAGUUCUAAACACUUGGCCUCGGUUUACAAUUUGGAAUGCUGGGAAACAGGGGAGAAAACUGUAUAGGUGUCUGUCAGCUGCCAAUCAGAAAAAGGUUGCCUCCUUCUGUGAUGUGGAUCAAAGCAAGAUAACAAAAGGCUUCUAUACUUACGAAGAAUCACAGAUCAAACCCAAGCCCAAAAUUCCCAUUUGCCAUUUUACAGAAGCUAAGCUCCCUUUCAUCAUCUGUGUGAAGCUGGUUCAGCCUGAAGCCGUGGCCUGUAAGUACCAGCAUUUGCCUCAGCACAGAAUUGGCUUUGUGACUAUGACUUGCAACCAUCAAACUCCUGGACUGGCAUCACUCGCCUCAGCACGGAACGGGCUCUGCAGUGUGGUCAUCGGGCUCCUGUACGGCCUCCAGUCGCCUCAGCACGGAACGGGCUCUGCAGUGUGGUCAUCGGGUCCUGUACGGCCUCCAGUCGCCUCAGCACGGAACGGGCUCUGCAGUGUGGUCAUUGGGUCCUGUACGGCCUCCAGUCGCCUCAGCACGGAACGGGCUCUGGAGUGUGGUCAUUGGGUCCUGUACGGCCUCCAGUCGCCUCAGCACGGAACGGGCUCUGCAGUGUGGUCAUCGGGUCCUGUACGGCCUCCAGUCGCCUCAGCACGGAACGGGCUCUGGAGUGUGGUCAUUGGGUCCUGUACGGCCUCCAGUCGCCUCAGCACGGAACGGGCUCUGCAGUGUGGUCAUCGGGUCCUGUACGGCCUCCAGUCGCCUCAGCACGGAACGGGCUCUGGAGUGUGGUCAUCGGGUCCUGUACGGCCUCCAGUCGCCUCAGCACGGAACGGGCUCUGCAGUGUGGUCAUCGGGUCCUGUACGGCCUCCAGUCGCCUCAGCACGGAACGGGCUCUGCAGUGUGGUCAUUGGGUCCUGUACGGCCUCCAGUCGCCUCAGUGCUGAACUGAAUCCCUGGAUGUGUGCCCACUUUCGGGACUCUGCAGUUAAUGUUCUGACCUGACAGGUGGUGGGUUUGAAGAAAAUCUGCACUCACUGAAACUGAAGGAAGGAGUGGACUACUACCAUUUCAGCUGAGGACCUCGGGCUAAUCUCCACGGCUGAUUUCCACAAGAAUAUAAAGGUUUACGGAGUGCAAGCAGCAUGAGGCUAUCUGGCCUCUCACACCUGCUCCAUUCAGUAAGAUCGUGGUUGAACUUUUACCUUAGCACCAGUUUCUUGCAGUAGGAUGAUUUAAAUGCUGGCCCAAUAGACUGAAAAGGUAGGGUGUGGGGCCAGGCGAUGAGGAUCCGGCCAGUUCCACUCACUCUCCUUUCUCCACGGCGUUGAGGCUGCAAGACUGCUUUGGCUGUGACACACUUUGAGUUUGCAAGCUUUGCGGAGAUUCACCCCGUUGUGUGAUGGACUGAGACCAGGCUUUGGGCCUCCUCUGGCUUCACUGGGCUCCAGGUCUACGGACUCAAUUUAGUUCGGAAUGCUUUUGCUUGCUUUUAUUGUUUGCAUAAUUAAUGUUUUUUUUCUUUGUGUAUUGAGUCUUUUUUUAAAUUGGGCUCUUUCAGGUUUUUUGCUUUAUGGCUGCCUGCAAGCAGAUAAAUCUCAAGUUUGUAUAAUAUAUACGUUCUUUGAUAAUAAAUGUACUUUGAAUUCUUGAUUCUGUUUUGUGUCAUAAAGUCAUACAGCACAGAAAUAGGUCCUUCAGCCCAGAAUUCACGCUGACCGUCAAACACCAGUGUGCAUUCAUCCUAUUUUAUUCUCCCCUCAUUUCCACCGGCUCACCCCCAAUUCUUUCGCUUGGAGACCUGCUCAGACAAAAUGUGGAGAUGGGCGGAAAGGUUGACAUGAGUGUAGUGGGCUGAAAGGCUUGUUUCUGUGCUGUACAACUUCGUGGCUAAUCUACGCUCUAAGAGCAAUGCAUAAAAAUAACAUUGCAUUUUGAUUAAUGUGUUUCCACUUUAACACAAAUGUCUUGGACACUGCACUCACUAAUUACAGCUCAUAGUGCUCAGAGUAUUUAGAACACGAUCACUGAUCAGUACCUCACUGAUUAUGGCCUGUUUAUUUCCUCCUGGCCAUAAGGCUUAAGAGCAGAAUUAGGCCAUUUGGCCUAUCGAGCUUUCUCUGCUGAUUUAUUAUCCCUCUCAUCACCUUUUCUCCUGCCUUCUCCCUGUAACAUCUGAUCCCUUUAAUAAUCAAUUUAAUAAUUUAAUAAUCAAGAGAAACAGUGCUAAGAGGCAACCCAGAUGAGACUCAAACCCACAAUCCCGUGCUCUGGAGAUUGAGGCCUUAUCCAUCACACCCUGGGUCACCACAAUUACUCUGCCUAUAUCCUACUCUGCAAAGGUGGCUUUACAGAUCGUCGUCCACCGUGCAGAAUUGAGGGGCUGCUCAUGGCAAGGAUUCUGCAGGGGGGACCUCCACCUGGAGAGGAAAUUGCUUUGUUCCAGCAUUGCCACAUUUUCUUAUCAACUCCUUCCUGUUAGGAACUGCACACGUCUCAUUUUAGCAAGGUUCUAGAUGUAACCGCACUUCUCUGCAGCGUUUUUGGACAGUUUCAUGAUCUUUUGCAGAGCAUCUGAUUGGCUUUUAUUGCUAUACCGGACACACAGUUAACACAUCAAAACGAAUUCUCAGCACACCUUUAACUUGCCCUAUUUCCUUUGAAGCCAUACAACUUAAAGAGACAACACCCAAACUGCAUUCUUUGCUCUCACCAAGAUCUGUGGUCUUCAAUAGCAUCAAAUGCAAACUCCCGUGUGUACCUGCAAUGCUUUGUACAUAGAGGUCAGGAUCACAGUCACCCGUAUCUCAGCUACAUUUGCUGAACUAGGGUUUCCUCUCAAACUCCAUAAUCAAGGAGGGACUUCAUCUACUCAGCCCGAAGAUGAAGGAAAGGCAUGAAAAAAAUCAUGCAUUGCUGCUUCCUCAAUGAAGAGGCUACUCUCAUCUUAUAGAGAUCUCCCUGGUUAUCACCUGACAGGUUCAGCCUCGAUAUCUUUCAUGGCCCCCAGCUCUCAUGUUUCUAGUGGACGUUCUCUUGAAGAGUGUUCCGACUCCUGCCUCCAAACCCCAACGCAGCACAACACUUGUCAGCAGCUCAAAGAGUUUUGCGUUAAUAAUGGCACUUCUUUGUAGAGCUGCCUACAGAGUGUGAGAAGUCAGUGUCCGUUUCAGCAAGAUAUUGCAUGUAAACGUACAGAGUUGUGAACUUCACCUCUGAUGAUCUUUGUAUGGCUUUCACUUUGAUGUUGUGACCAACAGCAAUGUUUCAAAUGGCAGUGAACAAUGAACAAUAAUGUUUUAAAUGGAAAUAAAGCAAUGUUUUUUUACUAUC